rnacentral:rRNA from 1 species
UGGGGAAUAUUGGACAAUGGGCGAAAGCCUGAUCCAGCCAUGCCGCGUGAGUGAUGAAGGCCCUAGGGUUGUAAAGCUCUUUUGUGCGGGAAGAUAAUGACGGUACCUGGAGAAGCGGCUGCGGCUAACUACGUGCCAGCAGCCGCGGUAAUACGUAGGCAGCAAGCGUUGUUCGGAAUUACUGGGCGUAAAGGGUGCGUAGGCGGCGCUCUAAGUUUGGUGUGAAAUCUCCCGGCUUAACUGGGAGGGUGCACUGAAAACUGGGGCGCUCGAGUAUGGGAGAGGAAAGCGGAACUCCUGGUGUAGCGGUGAAAUGCGUAGAGAUCAGGAGGAACACCUGCGGUGCAGACGGCUUUCUGGACCAUCACUGACGCUGAGGCACGAAAGCGUGGGUAGCAAACA